rnacentral:sRNA from 1 species
CACCUUUGUCUACAAACUUGUUUCCAUCUAUUGCUGAACCCUGUGUGUGGAAUGACUCUGAAGUCCCACUGGGCUGGGCGGGAAAGAGUGGUGAUCUAUUAGUGAUGUCUGCCAUGGGAGGGUGGUGAGUGUCGACAGGCCUGCUCCUGUUUGCUAUGUCUGGCCCUUAUCUGUCUCUUACAGGGACAAGCAUGAGGAGAACCACCGGCCUUUAUUCCACAAGGGCCCCGUGAUCAAGGUGAACAGCAAGCAACGCUAUGCUUCAAACGCGGUGUCAGAGGCCCUGAUCCGAGAGGUGGCCAACAAAGUCAAGGUCCCCCUGCAGGAUCUCAUGGUCCGGAAUGACACCCCCUGUGGAACCACCAUUGGACCUAUCUUGGCUUCUCGGCUGGGGCUGCGGGUGCUGGAUUUAGGCAGCCCCCAACUGGCCAUGCACUCUAUCCGGGAGAUGGCCUGCACCACAGGAGU